GUGGGGAAUAUUGGACAAUGGGCGAAAGCCUGAUCCAGCCAUGCCGCGUGUGUGAAGAAGGUCUUCGGAUUGUAAAGCACUUUAAGUUGGGAGGAAGGGCAGUAAGUUAAUACCUUGCUGUUUUGACGUUACCGACAGAAUAAGCACCGGCUAACUUCGUGCCAGCAGCCGCGGUAAUACGAAGGGUGCAAGCGUUAAUCGGAAUUACUGGGCGUAAAGUGCGCGUAGGUGGUUUUGUAAGUUGGAGGUGAAAUCCCCGGGCUCAACCUGGGAACUGCCUCCAAAACUGCAUGACUAGAGUACGGUAGAGGGUAGUGGAAUUUCCUGUGUAGCGGUGAAAUGCGUAGAUAUAGGAAGGAACACCAGUGGCGAAGGCGACUACCUGGACUGAUACUGACACUGAGGUGCGAAAGCGUGGGGAGCAAACAGGAUUAGAAACCCUGGUAGUCC
rnacentral:rRNA from 1 species